rnacentral:rRNA from 1 species
CCUACGGGAGGCAGCAGUAGGGAAUCUUCCACAAUGGGCGAAAGCCUGAUGGAGCAACGCCGCGUGGGUGAAGAAGGUCUUCGGAUCGUAAAACCCUGUUGUUAGAGAAGAAAGUGCGUGAGAGUAACUGUUCACGUUUCGACGGUAUCUAACCAGAAAGCCACGGCUAACUACGUGCCAGCAGCCGCGGUAAUACGUAGGUGGCAAGCGUUAUCCGGAGUUAUUGGGCGUAAAGGGAACUCGGGCGGUCUUUUAAGUCUGAUGUGAAAGCCUUCGGCUUAACCGGAGUAGUGCAUUGGAAACUGGGAGACUUGAGUGCAGAAGAGGAGAGUGGAACGCCAUGUGUAGCGGUGAAAGGCGUAGAUAUAUGGAAGAACACCAGUGGCGAAAGCGGCUCUCUGGUCUGUAACUGACGCUGAGGUUCGAAAGCGUGGGUAGCAAACAGGAUUAGAUACCCCUGUAGUC